GAUGAACGCUAGCGGGAGGCCUAAUACAUGCAAGUCGAGCGGUAACUGUCUUCGGACAGCUAGAGCGGCGCACGGGUGCGUAAUGCAUACGCAACCUACCGGAUACAAGGGGAUAGCCCAUGGAAACGUGGAUUAAUACCCUAUAGUACAUUGAUUGGGCAUCCGAUUAAUGUUAAAGCAUUUGCGGUAUUCGAUGGGCGUAUGUUCCAUUAGCUAGUUGGUAGGGUAACGGCCUACCAAGGCGACGAUGGAUAGCUGGCGUGAGAGCGUGACCAGCCACACGGGCACUGAGACACGGGCCCGACUCCUACGGGAGGCAGCAGUAAGGAAUAUUGGACAAUGGACGGAAGUCUGAUCCAGCCAUCCCGCGUGCAGGAAGAAGGCCCUCUGGAUUGUAAACUGCUUUUAAUAGGGAAGAAUAGCGGGGAUUUAUCCUCGUAUGACGGUACCUACAGAAUAAGCACCGGCUAACUCCGUGCCAGCCGCCGCCGUAA
rnacentral:rRNA from 1 species